GAUGAACGCUGGCGGCGUGCCUAAUACAUGCAAGUCGAGCGAACAGACGAGGAGCUUGCUCCUCUGACGUUAGCGGCGGACGGGUGAGUAACACGUGGAUAACCUACCUAUAAGACUGGGAUAACUUCGGGAAACCGGAGCUAAUACUGGAUAAUAUAUUGAACCGCAUGGUUCAAUAGUUAAAGACGGUUUUGCUGUCACUUAUAGAUGGAUCCGCGCCGCAUUAGCUAGUUGGUAAGGUAACGGCUUACCAAGGCAACGAUGCGUAGCCGACCUGAGAGGGUGAUCGGCCACACUGGAACUGAGACACGGUCCAGACUCCUACGGGAGGCAGCAGUAGGGAAUCUUCCGCAAUGGGCGAAAGCUUGACGGAGCAACGCCGCGUGAGUGAUGAAGGUCUUCGGAUCGUAAAACUCUGUUAUUAGGGAAGAACAAAUGUGUAAGUACCUAUGCACGUCUUGACGGUACCUAAUCAGAAAGCCACGGCUAACUACGUG
rnacentral:rRNA from 1 species